rnacentral:rRNA from 1 species
CGCCGCCCCCGCCCGCCUACGGGACGCAGCAGUGGGGAAUUUUGGACAAUGGGCGAAAGCCUGAUCCAGCAAUGCCGCGUGAGUGAAGAAGGCCUUCGGGUUGUAAAGCUCUUUUGUCAGGGAAGAAACGGUGAGAGCUAAUAUCUCUUGCUAAUGACGGUACCUGAAGAAUAAGCACCGGCUAACUAUGUGCCAGCAGCCGCGGUAAUACGUAGGGUGCAAGCGUUAAUCGGAAUUACUGGGCGUAAAGCGUGCGCAGGCGGUUUUGUAAGUCCGUCGUGAAAUCCCCGGGCUCAACCUGGGAAUUGCGAUGGAGACUGCAAGGCUAGAAUCUGGCAGAGGGGGGUAGAAUUCCACGUGUAGCAGUGAAAUGCGUAGAUAUGUGGAGGAAUACCGAUGGCGAAGGCAGCCCCCUGGGAUAACACUGACGCUCAUGCACGAAAGCGUGGGGAGCAAACAGGAUUAGAUACCCUGGUAGUCCACGCCCUAAACGAUGUCAACUAGUUGUCGGGUCUUAAUUGACUUGGUAACGCAGCUAACGCGUGAAGUUGACCGCCUGGGGAGUACGGUCGCAAGAUUAAAACUCAAAGGAAUUGACGG